AACCUCCGCAAUGUGAGAAAUCGCGACGGGGGGAUCCCAAGUGCCAUUCUUAACGGGAUGGCUUUUCAUUAGUGUAAAGAGCUUUUGGAAUAAGAGCUGGGCAAGACCGGUGCCAGCCGCCGCGGUAACACCGGCAGCUCUAGUGGUAACAAUUUUUAUUGGGCCUAAAGCGUCCGUAGCCGGUUUAAUAAGUCUCUGGUGAAAUCCUGUAGCUUAACUGUGGGAAUUGCUGGAGAUACUAUUAGACCUGAGACCGGGAGAGGUUAGAGGUACUCCCAGGGUAGAGGUGAAAUUCUGUAAUCCUGGGAGGACCGCCUGUUGCGAAGGCGUCUAACUGGAACGGUUCUGACGGUGAGGGACGAAAGUUAGGGGCGCGAACCGGAUUAGAUACCCGGGUAGUCCUAACUGUAAACGAUGCGGACUUGGUGUUGGGGUGGCUUUGAGCUGCUCCAGUGCCGAAGGGAAGCUGUUAAGUCCGCCGCCUGGGAAGUACGGUCGCAAGACUGAAACUUAAAGGAAUU
rnacentral:rRNA from 1 species